CUCGUAGGCGGUUUGCCACGUCUGCUGUGAAAUUCCGAGGCUCAACCUCGGACUUGCAGUGGGUACGGGUAGGCUAGAAUCAUGUAGGGGAGACUGGAAUUCCUGGUGUAGCGGUAAAAUGCGUAGAUAUAUGGAGGAACACCGGUGGCGAAGGCGGCUUUCUGGACUGCAACUGACGUUGAGGCGCGAAAGCGUGGGGAGCGAACA
rnacentral:rRNA from 1 species